rnacentral:rRNA from 1 species
UACGUGAGGGGCAAGCGUUGUCCGGAUUCAUUGGGCGUAAAGAGCGUGUAGGCGGCCAGGUAGGUCGGUUGUGAAACUGGAGGCUCAACCUUCAGAGGUCGACCGAAACCAUCUGGCUAGAGUCCGGGAGAGGAGAGUGGAAUUCCUGGUGUAGCGGUGAAAGUGCGCAGACUAUCAGGAAGAACACCCGUGGCGAAAGCGAGCUACUGGACAAUUCCUGACGCUGAGGCUCGAAGGCUAGGGUAGCGAAAGGG